UACGGGGGGGGCAAGCGUUGUUCGGAAUUACUGGGCGUAAAGGGCUCGUAGGCGGCCAACUAAGUCAGACGUGAAAUCCCUCGGCUUAACCGGGGAACUGCGUCUGAUACUGGAUGGCUUGAAUCCGGGAGAGGGAUGCGGAAUUCCAGGUGUAGCGGUGAAAUGCGUAGAUAUCUGGAGGAACACCGGUGGCGAAGGCGGCAUCCUGGACCGGCAUUGACGCUGAAAAGCGAAAGCCAGGGGAGCAAACGGG
rnacentral:rRNA from 1 species